GGCGAAUGUUGUUUUUGUUAUAAAAGAUAAUGUUAUUCGGACCCGAACAAACAAAGCAAACACUCGAUUUAUACGAUUUGGGUUCGAGAAACUAAAACAAUUUCCCACAAACCAAGCACACACCCGUAGCCCAAGCACAGGGGACACAAACGCCAUUUGGCCUUAAAACCGACCAACAACUAAUUCAAAGAAGGCCAGCGAGUGGAGAUCAAAUGCUAGCAACCGAUUGGAAUCUUGUCCACUACAAGAGCUAGGAGUAACCGGCCACGUCGGGAUGCCGACCACACGCAAUUCGUCGAAGCAGGCGGCGUCGCCGCAGGACAACAGGCGCAUUGCUGGCGGUGGCGGACUGGUGCCAGAGGAGGAGGCAGCCAACAUGCCUAACCUGUCCACACUGUCGCUGGACGAGCUGAAGCAGCUGGACAGGGAUCCGGAGUUCUUCGACGAUUUCAUCGAGGAGAUGUCUGUGGUGCAACAUCUAAACGAGGAGCUGGACUCGAUGAUGAACCAAGUGGAGAAUAUAUCACGUGAAAAUGAGAGCAAGGGCAGCCAUCUGGUGGAGCUAAAACGUCGCCUCAGCGAUGACUACACUGCCCUGAAAACGCUGGGCGAGAAGUGCGACCAACUGAAUAAGAAGUACUUGAAGAAAUCGGAGGAAUAUGCCCCCCAGCACAUACGCGAAUUACUCCAAAUUGCUGCCUCGAAUGCCGAUGCCGAUUGCGAUCGUCAUGUGGAGCACUUUCUCAAUGGAAAGAUCGAUGUGCAGACCUUCCUCAAUACCUAUCAGAGCUCGAAGAAGAUCAGUUCUGAGCGCAAGGCCAAGGAGGAGCGACUGGGCACACAACUGAGCGCCCUGGAGCGUGCCGGUAUUUAGCAGCCCUAAUAAUGAUGAUAAUGAUGAUGAUGAUGAUGAUGAUGAUGCUUACAACAACGAUGAUGAAACGCCGCCAAUCAAUCAACCCAUCUCCAGAAUGUACUGUACUAAAUGUUAUCUCGCAACCUUGCUCCAAACUAACUGGAGGGGUUCCACAAGUCGCAAUAUCUAGGAUCUAAGCAAGGCAACCCCUCACAAAAAACAUUGGAGAUCAAAAUCAGAGCCGAAUACCCUUCGCUCGCCACAAAAACGAUACGGAACGAACCAUGUGUUAUGAGUGUCCGCAGUUCAACUCAAGCUUACGCUCAAGCAAAUACCAUACCAUACCAAAAAAAGAGAACCCAAUCGAAAUGAAAUUGCCUGUAUUCCCUCCUCCUGUCCCCUAGGUUACGUCUGGGUCGCCUUUCCUGCCAACAGUUUUGUUUAUCUGCACUACCCCGUAUGUAUGUAUAUUUAAUAAAAGUUUAUGAUUUAUCUCAAA